rnacentral:rRNA from 1 species
UAAGCAUAUCAAUAAGCGGAGGAAAAGAAACCAACAGGGAUUGCCUCAGUAACGGCGAGUGAAGCGGCAACAGCUCAAAUUUGAAAUCUGGCCCUAGGCCCGAGUUGUAAUUUGCAGAGGAUGUUUCUGGCGAGGUGCCUUCCGAGUUCCCUGGAACGGGACGCCAUAGAGGGUGAGAGCCCCGUACGGUUGGUCGCUAAGCCUCUGUGAAACUCCUUCGACGAGUCGAGUAGUUUGGGAAUGCUGCUCUAAAUGGGAGGUAUACGUCUUCUAAAGCUAAAUACCGGCCAGAGACCGAUAGCGCACAAGUAGAGUGAUCGAAAGAUGAAAAGCACUUUGAAAAGAGGGUUAAAUAGUACGUGAAAUUGUUGAAAGGGAAGCGCUUAUGACCAGACUUGGACCGGUUGAUCAUCCAUCGUUCUCGGUGGUGCACUCUGCCGGUUCAGGCCAGCAUCAGUUCGUCCCGGGGGAUAAAGGCUUUGGGAAUGUGGCUCUUCGGAGUGUUAUAGCCCAUUGCGUAAUACCCUGGGAUGGACUGAGGUUCGCGCUCCGCAAGGAUGCUGGCGUAAUGGUCAUCAGUGACCCGUCUUGAAACACGGACCAAGGAGUCGUCUUCGUAUGCGAGUGUUCGGGUGUCAAACCCCUACGCGUAAUGAAAGUGAACGUAGGAGAGAGCUUCGGCGCAUCUCCGACCGAUCCUGAUGUUCUCGGAUGGAUUUGAGUAAGAGCAUACGGGGCCGGACCCGAAAGAAGGUGAACUAUGCUUGUAUAGGGUGAAGCCAGAGGAAACUCUGGUGGAGGCUCGCAGCGGUUCUGACGUGCAAAUCGAUCGUCAAAUAUGAGCAUGGGGGGCGAAAGACUAAUCGAACCUUCUAGUAGCUGGUUUCCGCCG